GGAUUUACAGGCCCUGCCCCUUCUGCCUGAGGUUCUGCCCCUUCCAGUUGUCCAUCCUGCUUGCCCAGGACCUGCAUACUGUGGUCUUCAGUCUGCUGAACUUGCUGCAGCUCAUUUCAUCAGAGUACAUGUGGGUCAGUUCCUAUCUGCAUGGAGCCCAGCUGAUCUCCACUGGAGCACUGGUGUUGAAAGCACGUCAUGAUACUUUCAUUGUCCCCAUUUCCCUACAAUUGAUUGAAUAACUGUUCAUUUUUGUUACUGUGCCUUUGAAGACUGUGAAGUGACUUGAACAAUAAUCAGAUUUUUAAAAUGGAUUGAAAUAAACCAGUGGACCAAAUGCUACAUUUUGCAAAGUCCUGGCAAUUGUUAAGGUAUGUCAGUGCAUAUUAUUGAUACCACACCAUUCUUAUCAUGAAAUGGUAAUACUGUCCUAUGAACUGCUUUUCUCUGUCUUUUGGAAUAAUGUAUUUGAAUCAUGGACCACACUGCCCUGAGGGAGUUUUUUGUAAUGGACUGUAAGGGUGUAUCUCCACUGCAGUUAGUCCAGGUGAUUGCCACAAUGGGUUAGCUUAGCCCUGAUGUUAACACAGCCAUACUGCAAAGCCAUACCUGCAUCACUGUAUACUGACUGGUGCUGUAGUCACCAAUGUGUCACUAGGACUUUUGUUCUUUUUGCUGCAGUACGCUGAACCUCUCCGAUUCUGUGCCAGUGACUUGUAGCAGAGCUUGUCCUUCCUUCUGGGCAUACAGGAGGACUGUUGGAGGUUUAUCAACACUUGAGUAAUUUUUUUUUUCUUUGUGCCUGCAUCCUCACUGCAAAGUAGGUGGGUUACCAGACUGAAUGAAAGCAGAAUCCAGGCUCUAACCCAUACCCCUAGCAAAGCUGGCUAGCCUGGCUUGAAAGCACCACCAAACUCAGGUGAGAGGUUUUGUGUAUGAAGAACACAGAUGUGGGGUUGGAGGCAACACCUGGGUAAGACCUUGGGCUAACUAUGCAGUGAAGAUAUACCCUAAAAGGUGAAUUUUUGUCAGCGUUGGAGUAGAAAUGAAUCUGACUGGUCAUAACUAAGCAAAAUACAUGAGCAAUAGAGAACUGCAUCUGCAGUUGCUGCUCUCUUAAUGUUGCUGUGGUAUAAUACAAAAAUUAACAGUACCACAAGAGUGAUAAACAGGUUCAGGGAGCCUUGUGCUUGCAUGUUAUAAAAUAAAUGUAGAGCCCUCUACAGAGACCAACUUAGCUGGGAUUGGGUGGUCUUUUGGUGUCUUUGGUAUUACAGUAUGUGAAUUUUAAUUGAUCAUGUUGUGUGCUUAGAGUUGAUAUGUGCAGUGUAAAGAAUGGAUAGGGUUUUUAUACUUUAAGAAGCAGGAUCCCAGAAUGUUUUCUUUACAAAAAAGAAUGUCUUUAGUUUAGACUGUGGUAAAAUGUGGUUUGAUAAUGGCUACAAAUGGAUAAUGGGUAUAUAACAAUAUUAAAAGCAUGAUUUGUUGGGUGUUUUUUUGUUUUUAAAUCCAGCAUGUCUUGAAAUGGUACAAAUCUGGGUGCAGCUUAUAAUGGAAAAGCCCACUGGGUCCUAACCUUUGUGGAGACACCUAAACCUGACUCCAUACAUCAAUUGUGAUAGGUGUUUCCUUCAGGCAGCUUUCCACAGAAACAUGCACAUAUUCCAGUUCACACAUGAUAACAAACAGAUCCCUCUCUGUUUUCUGUCUAUCUCUCCCUCUCUCUGUGCAAACUAUUUACAAAGUACUGUAGAAAGGGAAGAACAGGGCAUUUUUUUUCCUCCCCCACUUGAUAAAUCCUCUUCAAAUGUUUUUGGUUGCUCUUAUUUGCUCCUGUGGUUGACUGACACACAAAAAGUUGCAUUAGUCGUGGUUCUUGUGUUUCUCUGCAUUCCCCCCCCCCAUUUUAUUUGAAAAUGUUUGUUAGUAUUUUAGCUUUGUUUAAAAGUCCGUUCCUCUCCCCCACCCCAAUAGACUGUAUGUAUGUGAUCAAGAUACCUAACAAUAAAUAGUGGAAAUAUCUGUGCAAUAUAGUAUCCAAAUGGAACACAAGGGCUGACUGUGUUACCAUAGUGCCAAGAAGCCCCAGUCAUGGACCAAGAAUCCAUUGCACUGUGCAUUGCUCAGCCACACAACAGAAUCACUUGUUAAAAGAAGAUAUAAGACAAAGGUUAGAGCUAUUUGGCUAUAAGACUCCAACUGCCAAAGAAUGACUCCACCUAGUUCGGUGUGACGGCAGGACAUAUUGACAUAGGAUAUGAC